rnacentral:rRNA from 1 species
UACGGGGGAUGCAAGCGUUAUCCGGAUUUAUUGGGUUUAAAGGGUGCGUAGGCGGCACGCCAAGUCAGUUGUGAAACCCGUAGGCUCAACCUACGGCUUGCAAUUGAAACUGGCGAGCUAGAGUACAGGAGAGGAAAGCGGAAUUCCUAGUGUAGCGGUGAAAUGCGUAGAUAUUAGGAAGAACACCGGUGGCGAAGGCGGCUUUCUGGACUGAAACUGACGCUGAGGCACGAAAGCGUGGGGAGCAAACAGG